rnacentral:rRNA from 1 species
GAUGAACGCUGGCGGCGUGCCUAAUACAUGCAAGUCGAGCGAACGGACGAGAAGCUUGCUUCUCUGAUGUUAGCGGCGGACGGGUGAGUAACACGUGGAUAACCUACCUAUAAGACUGGGAUAACUUCGGGAAACCGGAGCUAAUACCGGAUAAUAUUUUGAACCGCAUGGUUCAAAAGUGAAAGACGGUCUUGCUGUCACUUAUAGAUGGAUCCGCGCUGCAUUAGCUAGUUGGUAAGGUAACGGCUUACCAAGGCAACGAUGCAUAGCCGACCUGAGAGGGUGAACGGCCACACGGGAACGGAGAAACGGUCCAGAGUCCCACGGGAGGCAGCAGUAGGGAAUCUGCCGCAAUGGGCGAAAGCCUGACGGAGCAACGCAGCGUGAGUGAUGAAGGGCUGCGGAUCGUAAAACUGUGUUAUUAGGGAAGAACAUAUGUGUAAGUAACUGUGCACAUCUGGAAGUGACCUAAUCAGAAAGCCACGGCUAACUAAGGG